CCUACGGGAGGCAGCAGUGAGGAAUAUUGGUCAAUGGACGCAAGUCUGAACCAGCCAUGCCGCGUGCGGGAAGACGGUUCUAUGAGUCGUAAACCGCUUUUGUACGAGGGUAAAUCCCGGUACGUGUACCGGGUUGAGAGUAUCUUACGAAUAAGGAUCGGCUAACUCCGUGCCAGCAGCCGCGGUAAUACGGAGGAUUCAAGCGUUAUCCGGAUUUAUUGGGUUUAAAGGGUGCGUAGGCGGUUCGUUAAGUUAGCGGUGAAAUCCCGGGGCUCAACUCCGGCACUGCCUCUGAUACUGGCAGGCUCGAGUUUAGUUGAGGUAGGCGGAAUGUAUGGUGUAGCGGUGAAAUGCAUAGAGAUCAUACAGAACACCGAUUGCGAAGGCAGCUUACCAAACUACGACUGACGUUGAGGCACGAAAGCGUGGGGAGCAAACAGGAUUAGAUACCCCAGUAGUC
rnacentral:rRNA from 1 species